rnacentral:ncRNA from 1 species
GAGUUGUAAUGAAAGGAGAGAAGGUUAGACUCACCUUAAGAAGGAUGGAAGAGGUCCUAGUAGCCUUUACAACACAUAAGACAUUGCCACCUUCUUCAAGGCAUCUAACCAAUUUUUUUU